CGCUGGCGGCGUGCCUAAUACAUGCAAGUAGAACGCUGAAGAGAGGAGCUUGCUCUUCUUGGAUGAGUUGCGAACGGGUGAGUAACGCGUAGGUAACCUGCCUUGUAGCGGGGGAUAACUAUUGGAAACGAUAGCUAAUACCGCAUAACAAUGGAUGACACAUGUCAUUUAUUUGAAAGGGGCAAUUGUUCCACUACAAGAUGGACCUGCGUUGUAUUAGCUAGUAGGUGAGGUAAUGGCUCACCUAGGCGACGAUACAUAGCCGACCUGAGAGGGUGAUCGGCCACACUGGGACUGAGACACGGCCCAGACUCCUACGGGAGGCAGCAGUAGGGAAUCUUCGGCAAUGGGGGCAACCCUGACCGAGCAACGCCGCGUGAGUGAAGAAGGUUUUCGGAUCGUAAAGCUCUGUUGUAAGUCAAGAACGGGUGUGAGAGUGGAAAGUUCACACUGUGACGGUAGCUUACCAGAAAGGGACGGCUAACUACGUGCCAGCAGCCGCGGUAAUACGUAGGUCCCGAGCGUUGUCCGGAUUUAUUGGGCGUAAAGCGAGCGCAGGCGGUUUGAUAAGUCUGAAGUUAAAGGCUGUGGCUCAACCAUAGUUCGCUUUGGAAACUGUCAAACUUGAGUGCAGAAGGGGAGAGUGGAAUUCCAUGUGUAGCGGUGAAAUGCGUAGAUAUAUGGAGGAACACCGGUGGCGAAAGCGGCUCUCUGGUCUGUAACUGACGCUGAGGCUCGAAAGCGUGGGGAGCGAACAGGAUUAGAUACCCUGGUAGUCCACGCCGUAAACGAUGAGUGCUAGGUGUUGGAUCCUUUCCGGGAUUCAGUGCCGCAGCUAACGCAUUAAGCACUCCGCCUGGGGAGUACGACCGCAAGGUUGAAACUCAAAGGAAUUGACGGGGGCCCGCACAAGCGGUGGAGCAUGUGGUUUAAUUCGAAGCAACGCGAAGAACCUUACCAGGUCUUGACAUCCCGAUGCUAUUUCUAGAGAUAGAAAGUUACUUCGGUACAUCGGUGACAGGUGGUGCAUGGUUGUCGUCAGCUCGUGUCGUGAGAUGUUGGGUUAAGUCCCGCAACGAGCGCAACCCCUAUUGUUAGUUGCCAUCAUUCAGUUGGGCACUCUAGCGAGACUGCCGGUAAUAAACCGGAGGAAGGUGGGGAUGACGUCAAAUCAUCAUGCCCCUUAUGACCUGGGCUACACACGUGCUACAAUGGUUGGUACAACGAGUUGCGAGUCGGUGACGGCGAGCUAAUCUCUUAAAGCCAAUCUCAGUUCGGAUUGUAGGCUGCAACUCGCCUACAUGAAGUCGGAAUCGCUAGUAAUCGCGGAUCAGCACGCCGCGGUGAAUACGUUCCCGGGCCUUGUACACACCGCCCGUCACACCACGAGAGUUUGUAACACCCGAAGUCGGUGAGGUAACCUUUUGGAGCCAGCCGCCUAAGGUGGGACAGAUGAUUGGGG
rnacentral:rRNA from 1 species